rnacentral:rRNA from 1 species
GUCUAUGGCCAUACCACCCUGAACGUGCCCAAUCUUGUUUGAUCUCAGAAGCUAAGCAGGGGCGGGCCUGAUUAGUACUUGGAUGGGAGAGUUGUAGAAAAUUAACGGACAUAAGAACUUCAGGGAAAUCCAGACC